GACGAGGGAUCCUAGCGUUGUUCGGAAUCAUUGGGCGUAAAGCGGAUGUAGGUGGCCUUGUAAGUCAGGUGUGAAAGCCCAGAGCUCAACUCUGGAAGUGCAUUUGAUACUGCGAGGCUUGAGUGUGGAAGAGGUAAGUAGAAUACCUGGUGUAGUGGUGAAAUACGUAGAUAUCAGGUGGAAUACCGGAGGCGAAGGCGGCUUACUGGUCCAACACUGACACUGAGAUCCGAAAGCGUGGGGAUCAAACAGG
rnacentral:rRNA from 1 species